ACUUAAAUUGAAGAGUUUGAUCAUGGCUCAGAUUGAACGCUGGCGGCAGGCCUAACACAUGCAAGUCGAGCGGUAGCACAGAGAGCUUGCUCUCGGGUGACGAGCGGCGGACGGGUGAGUAAUGUCUGGGAAACUGCCUGAUGGAGGGGGAUAACUACUGGAAACGGUAGCUAAUACCGCAUAAUGUCGCAAGACCAAAGUGGGGGACCUUCGGGCCUCAUGCCAUCAGAUGUGCCCAGAUGGGAUUAGCUAGUAGGUGGGGUAAUGGCUCACCUAGGCGACGAUCCCUAGCUGGUCUGAGAGGAUGACCAGCCACACUGGAACUGAGACACGGUCCAGACUCCUACGGGAGGCAGCAGUGGGGAAUAUUGCACAAUGGGCGCAAGCCUGAUGCAGCCAUGCCGCGUGUGUGAAGAAGGCCUUCGGGUUGUAAAGCACUUUCAGCGGGGAGGAAGGCGAUAAGGUUAAUAACCUUGGCGAUUGACGUUACCCGCAGAAGAAGCACCGGCUAACUCCGUGCCAGCAGCCGCGGUAAUACGGAGGGUGCAAGCGUUAAUCGGAAUUACUGGGCGUAAAGCGCACGCAGGCGGUCUGUCAAGUCGGAUGUGAAAUCCCCGGGCUCAACCUGGGAACUGCAUUCGAAACUGGCAGGCUAGAGUCUUGUAGAGGGGGGUAGAAUUCCAGGUGUAGCGGUGAAAUGCGUAGAGAUCUGGAGGAAUACCGGUGGCGAAGGCGGCCCCCUGGACAAAGACUGACGCUCAGGUGCGAAAGCGUGGGGAGCAAACAGGAUUAGAUACCCUGGUAGUCCACGCCGUAAACGAUGUCGAUUUGGAGGUUGUGCCCUUGAGGCGUGGCUUCCGGAGCUAACGCGUUAAAUCGACCGCCUGGGGAGUACGGCCGCAAGGUUAAAACUCAAAUGAAUUGACGGGGGCCCGCACAAGCGGUGGAGCAUGUGGUUUAAUUCGAUGCAACGCGAAGAACCUUACCUGGUCUUGACAUCCACAGAACUUAGCAGAGAUGCUUUGGUGCCUUCGGGAACUGUGAGACAGGUGCUGCAUGGCUGUCGUCAGCUCGUGUUGUGAAAUGUUGGGUUAAGUCCCGCAACGAGCGCAACCCUUAUCCUUUGUUGCCAGCGGUUAGGCCGGGAACUCAAAGGAGACUGCCAGUGAUAAACUGGAGGAAGGUGGGGAUGACGUCAAGUCAUCAUGGCCCUUACGACCAGGGCUACACACGUGCUACAAUGGCAUAUACAAAGAGAAGCGACCUCGCGAGAGCAAGCGGACCUCAUAAAGUAUGUCGUAGUCCGGAUUGGAGUCUGCAACUCGACUCCAUGAAGUCGGAAUCGCUAGUAAUCGUAGAUCAGAAUGCUACGGUGAAUACGUUCCCGGGCCUUGUACACACCGCCCGUCACACCAUGGGAGUGGGUUGCAAAAGAAGUAGGUAGCUUAACCUUCGGGAGGGCGCUUACCACUUUGUGAUUCAUGACUGGGGUGAAGUCGUAACAAGGUAACCGUAGGGGAACCUGCGGUUGGAUCACCUCCUUACCUUAAAGAA
rnacentral:rRNA from 1 species